rnacentral:rRNA from 1 species
GGGGAAUAUUGGGCAAUGGGCGCAAGCCUGACCCAGCAACGCCGCGUGAGGGAAGAAGGCUUUCGGGUUGUAAACCUCUGUCCUUGGUGACGAAACAAAUGACGGUAGCCAAGGAGGAAGCACCGGCUAACUACGUGCCAGCAGCCGCGGUAAUACGUAGGGGGCGAGCGUUGUCCGGAAUUACUGGGCGUAAAGGGUGCGUAGGUGGCCUUUUAAGUUGGAUGUGAAAUACCCGGGCUUAACCUGGGGGGUGCAUCUAAUACUGGGAGGCUAGAGUGCAGGAGAGGAAAGCGGAAUUCCUAGUGUAGCGGUGAAAUGCGUAGAUAUUAGGAGGAACACCAGUGGCGAAGGCGGCUUUCUGGACUGUAACUGACACUGAGGCACGAAAGCGUGGGGAGCAAACAG